GCCUGGGUGGCUCAGUCGGUUGAGCGUCCGACUUCAGCUCAGGUCAUGAUCUUGUGGUUCGUGGGUUCGAGCCCCGCGUCAGGCU
rnacentral:tRNA from 1 species